CGGCGCGGGGGCUUGCGCUGCCGUGUCAGUGGUUGCUGUGCCCUCGAGCUGUGCCAUCUCAGCGCUGUCUGUGCCAAUAACCGGUGCCGUGUCACCGGUGGCUGCGCAAUCAAUGGCUGCCAUGUCGGUGGUUUCUGUGCCAUCAAUUGCUGCCGUGUCCAAGGUUGCUGUGACAUGAGUUGGUGCCAUGUCACCGCUGGCUGCACAGUCCCUCGGUGCAGUGCUGACAUCCGGCUCCGCCUCGAGCUCGGCUGCGCUGGUGUCAGACUGUGCCGGGAGCUCGGGCGGUGCGGUCGUGGCUGUUCUGCGCCGAAGACCCAUGAAUUUCAGCAACCUCUGCAGGAGAAGAAAGGGCAGGGAAGAGAGGGAAGUGGCAUGGAGUGCUCUGACAGCGGUGCCAGGCGGAGCAGGGACAGCAGGCCCAGCCCAGGGGGGGAUGGCUGCAGGUACCUGAACUGCCCUGCGCAAGCGGCCACGGGCGCGGUCCUGCUCUUCUGGGCGGUCCCGGCCUGGAUCUGGCAAAGAGCGAGCGCAGUCAGAGCUGAGGGGCCAUGGGAGAGGCCAGAGAACACAGCCCAGCCCUGUGCUCCACAGGCAGGGCCAGCCCUGGGAUGCCCAGGGGAUGGAGCACGGAUGCCGGGGGGAUCAGCCUUGGACCCCCUUUCCCCCUCCCUUUCCCUGGCCAUGUCCAGAGGGGACGGCAAGGGGCCCAGCUGGCUGCAGCCACCAUCCCUGGGGCCCAGCUCCAGCACUCACCCUGCUGCAGUGGCUGGAAGUGCUGCACCUCCUCCUCUGCUUCCUGUGCUGGGCCAGCUCCAGGGCCUCUCCUGUUCUUCCUCUUCCUCCGGAGCAGCCGGCACAGGCCGAAGCAUCCCCCCGCCAUGGCACAGUCUGGUCUGGAGGGCACCUGCGGGGGAGAAACCUGGGAAAAACCCCUGGCGGCCAAGUGUGACACAAUGGCCUGCGGGGCUCCUGCCACAGGGGCUGGGGAUGGCUUGGAACAGCCCCUGGUGGCAAAGUCUCACAAAAUGGCCUCAAGGGCCACUGCCACAGCCACUGGUGACUCCUCGGAAAAGCUCCGGGUCACCAAGGCCCGUGGCCUGGCCUCGAGGGCCACUCCCACAGGGAGUGGGGUCACCUCAGAAACGCUCCGGGUCCCCAACUCCUGUGCUGUGGCCUCGAGGGAAGUUGAUGAAAAAAGAACUCUCGAAAACGCUCCUGGUCGACGAGAAAGGAGUUGGCUGCGAGGAGGCUCCUCACAGCACCGCUCUGUCCCGUCCUGCCCAGUCGCCCGCUCCGAGCACGGUGGCGUGGCCGCGUUGCCGCCGACACCUUUAUC
rnacentral:lncRNA from 1 species